GAGCGUCAUUUCAACCCUCAAGCUCUGCUUGGUCUUGGGCCGCGCCGGGAAACCGACGGGCCUCAAAAACAGUGGCGGCACCAUCCGUGUCCUCAGCGUAGUAAUUCUUCUCGCUGCUGGAUUCGGGCGGUCGCUGGCCAACAACCCCAAAUUUUUCUAUGGUUGACCUCGGAUCAGGUAGGGAUACCCGCUGAACUUAA
rnacentral:misc_RNA from 1 species